rnacentral:rRNA from 1 species
UACGUAGGGGCUAGCGUUGUCCGGAAUCAUUGGGCGUAAAGCGCGUGUAGGCGGUUACGUAAGUCUGCUGUGAAAGUCGGAGGCUCAACCUUCGAAAGCCGGUGGAUACUGCGUGACUAGAGUACGGAAGAGGAGAGUGGAAUUCCUGGUGUAGCGGUGAAAUGCGCAGAUAGUCAGGAGGAACACCGGUGGCGAAGGCGGGUCUCUGGGCCAAUACUGACGCUGAGGAGCGAAAGCGUGGGGAGCGAACAGG